rnacentral:rRNA from 1 species
AACUGACGCUCAGGCACGAAAGCGUGGGGAGCAAACAGGAUUAGAUACCCUGGUAGUCCACGCUGUAAACGAUGAUCACUCGUUGUUGGCGAUACACAGUCAGCGACUGAGCGAAAGUAUUAAGUGAUCCACCUGGGGAGUACGGUCGCAAGAUUGAAACUCAAAGGAAUUGACGGGGGCCCGCACAAGCGGAGGAGCAUGUGGUUUAAUUCGAUGAUACGCGAGGAACCUUACCUGGGCUUAAAUGUAGGACGACUUUUCGCGAAAGCGGAUUUUCCUUCGGGACGGCCUACAAGGUGCUGCAUGGUUGUCGUCAGCUCGUGCCGUGAGGUGUCGGGUUAAGUCCCAUAACGAGCGCAACCCCUAUCCUUAGUUGCCAUCAGGUAAUGCUGGGGACUCUAAGGAAACUGCCUACGCAAGUAGUGAGGAAGGCGGGGAUGACGUCAAAUCAGCACGGCCCUUAUGUCCAGGGCUACACACGUGCUACAAUGGCCGGUACAGAGGGCAGCUACCUGGUGACAGGAUGCUAAUCUCCAAAGCCGGUCUCAGUUCGGAUCGAAGUCUGCAACUCGACUUCGUGAAGUUGGAUUCGCUAGUAACCGCAGGUCAGCAUACUGCGGUGAAUACGUUCCCGGGGCUUGUACACACCGCCCGUCACGUCAUGAAAGCUGGUAACACCUGAAGCCGCUGGGCUAACCCGAAAGGGAGGCAGGCGUCGAGGGUGGGACUAGUGAUUGGGACGAAGUCGUAACAAGGUAACCGUA